AACGAACGCUGGCGGCAGGCUUAACACAUGCAAGUCGAACGGGUGUAGCAAUACAUCAGUGGCAGACGGGUGAGUAACACGUGGGAACCUUCCUAGGGGUACGGAACAACUCAGGGAAACUUGAGCUAAUACCGUAUACGUCCGUGAGGAGAAAGAUUUAUCGCCCUUAGACGGGCCCGCGUCGGAUUAGCUAGUUGGUGGGGUAACGGCCUACCAAGGCGACGAUCCGUAGCUGAUCUUAGAGGAUGGUCAGCCACACUGGGACUGAGACACGGCCCAGACUCCUACGGGAGGCAGCAGUGGGGAAUCUUGGACAAUGGGCGCAAGCCUGAUCCAGCCAUGCCGCGUGAGUGAAGAAGGUCUUCGGAUUGUAAAGCUCUUUUGCCAGGGACGAUAAUGACGGUACCUGGAGAAUAAGCCCCGGCAAACUUCGUGCCAGCAGCCGCAGUAA
rnacentral:rRNA from 1 species